rnacentral:miRNA from 1 species
GCAGACACAUUCCAGCCAAUCAGCAGCAGACCCUCCCUCCCAGACCCUCCCACCUCCUGGACAGCAUCCAUUUUACAUUCAUUGUGAAGCUGCAUUAUUAGUGAGCUGUCCAGGAGAUGGGAGGGUCUGGGAGGGAGGGUCUGCUGCUGAUUGGUUGGAAUGUGUCUG